UCAAGCGAACAAGUGCAUGUGGUGGAUGCCUUGGCGAUCACAGGCGAUGAAGGACGCGGUAGCCUGCGAAAAGCUACGGGGAGCUGGCAAACGAGCUUUGAUCCGUAGAUGUCCGAAUGGGGAAACCCGGCCCUUUUGGGUCAUCCUAGACUGAAUACAUAGGUCUAGUGAGGCGAACGCGGUGAACUGAAACAUCUAAGUAACCGCAGGAAAAGAAAUCAACCGAGAUUCCCAAAGUAGUGGCGAGCGAAAUGGGAAGAGCCUGUACUCUUUAUUUGUAUUGUUAGCCGAACGCUCUGGAAAGUGCCGCCAUAGCAGGUGAUAGCCCUGUAGGCGAAAACAGUAUGAAAGAACUAGGUGUACGACAAGUAGGGCGGGACACGUGAAAUCCUGUCUGAAGAUGGGGGGACCAUCCUCCAAGGCUAAAUACUCGUGAUCGACCGAUAGUGAACCAGUACCGUGAGGGAAAGGCGAAAAGAACCCCGGGAGGGGAGUGAAAUAGAUCCUGAAACCGCAUGCAUACAAACAGUCGGAGCCUCUUCGGGGGUGACGGCGUACCUUUUGUAUAAUGGGUCAGCGACUUACGUUCAGUAGCAAGCUUAACCGAAUAGGGCAGGCGUAGCGAAAGCGAGUCCGAAUAGGGCGUUCAGUUGCUGGGCGUAGACCCGAAACCAGGUGAUCUAUCCAUGGCCAGGAUGAAGGUGCGGUAACACGUACUGGAGGUCCGAACCCACUAACGUUGAAAAGUUAGGGGAUGAGCUGUGGAUAGGGGUGAAAGGCUAAACAAACCUGGAAAUAGCUGGUUCUCUCCGAAAACUAUUUAGGUAGUGCCUCGUGUCUCACCUUCGGGGGUAGAGCACUGUCAUGGUUGGGGGGUCUAUUGCAGAUUACCCCGCCAUAGCAAACUCCGAAUACCGAAGAGUGCAAUCACGGGAGACAGACAUCG
rnacentral:rRNA from 1 species